AUUGAACGCUGGCGGCAUGCUUUACACAUGCAAGUCGAACGGUAACAGGCCUUCGGGUGCUGAUGAGUGGCGAACGGGCGAGUAAUGCACCGGAACGUGCCCUGAGGUGGGGGAUAACGUAGCGAAAGCUGUGUUAAUACCGCAUGUGAUCUGAGGACGAAAGCGGGGGACCAGGUAGCAAUGUUUGGCCUCGUGCCUUUGGAGCGGCCGAUGUUCGACUAGGUAGUUGGUGGGGUAAUGGCCUACCAAGCCGACGAUCUGUGGCUGGUCUGAGAGGACGACCGGCCACACGAGGGCGUGGACGCGGCCAAGGCGCCUGCGGGAGGGAGCAGAGGGGAAUGUGAGACAGUAGUCGCGAGCCUGGUCCAGCAGGGCGGCGUGCGAGGAGGAGACCUUGGGGUUGUGAACCGCGUUUGUGCGGAGCAAAAAGUCUCUGGCUGAGACCUGGGGUUGAUGACGGUACCGUAAAAAGAAGCACCGGCUAACUACGUG
rnacentral:rRNA from 1 species